rnacentral:rRNA from 1 species
AACGAACGCUGGCGGCAUGCCUAACACAUGCAAGUCGAACGAGACCUUCGGGUCUAGUGGCGCACGGGUGCGUAACGCGUGGGAACCUGCCCUUAGGUUCGGAAUAACUCCCCGAAAGGGGUGCUAAUACCGGAUAAUGUCUUCGAACCAAAGAUUUAUCGCCUUUGGAUGGGCCCGCGUUGGAUUAGCUAGUUGGUAGGGUAAAAGACUACCAAGGCGACGAUCCAUAGCUGGUCUGAGAGGAUGAUCAGCCACACUGGGACUGAGACACGGCCCAGACUCCUACGGGAGGCAGCAGUUGGGAAUAUUGGACAAUGGGCGAAAGCCUGAUCCAGCAAUGCCGCGUGAGUGAUGAAGGCCUGAGGGUUGUAAAGCUCUUUUACCCGGGAUGAUAAUGACAGUACCGGGAGAAUAAGCUCCGGCUAACUCCGUG